rnacentral:rRNA from 1 species
UACGGGGGGGGCAAGCGUUGUUCGGAAUUACUGGGCGUAAAGGGCUCGUAGGCGGCCAACUAAGUCAGACGUGAAAUCCCUCGGCUUAACCGGGGAACUGCAUCUGAUACUGGAUGGCUUGAGUUCGGGAGAGGGAUGCGGAAUUCCAGGUGUAGCGGUGAAAUGCGUAGAUAUCUGGAGGAACACCGGUGGCGAAGGCGGCAUCCUGGACCGACACUGACGCUGAGGAGCGAAAGCCAGGGGAGCAAAAGGG